rnacentral:SRP_RNA from 1 species
CCGUGCUAGAUGGGGAGUUAGCGGUGCCCUGUACCCGCAACCCGCUACAGCGGGGUUGAAUUCCCUUUCGAGGUCUGGUGUUGUGGGACUAGCCUUCGCACGGGGUGUUGACAGUUGGGUCCCGCGCGGCGGAGAACUGUGAACCUGGUCAGGACCGGAAGGUAGCAGCCAUAAGCGGCAACCUCCGGGUGAUGUGGGAUCGCCUGACUCGAGCCACCGACGGAUGGAGAAGCCGGAACGCUUCGAUCGACAAAGGGUGCACGG